CAAUUAUUUAUAGCCUCUGGCUAUAGGAAAUUGUUAGUGGCAGACGGGUGAGUAAUGCGUAGGAAUCUACCUAGUAGUACGGAAUAGCCAUUAGAAAUGGUGGGUAAUACUGUAUAAUCACCGAGGGGGAAAGAUUUAUCGCUAUUAGAUGAGCCUACGUUAGAUUAGCUAGUUGGUGAGGUAAUGGCUUACCAAGGCUAUGAUCUAUAGCUGGUCUGAGAGGACGAUCAGCCACACUGGAACUGAGAUGCGGUCCAGACUCCUACGGGAGGCAGCAGUGGGGAAUAUUGGACAAUGGGCGAAAGCCUGAUCCAGCUAUGCCGCGUGAGUGAGGAAGGCCUUUGGGUUGUAAAACUCUUUCAAUAGGGAAGAUAAUGACGGUACCUAU
rnacentral:rRNA from 1 species